AGGUAGGCUGAUACAGGACCUGUGCUUUUCAAGUCAAUAUGGGCUGACAAUUAAAAGUGAAAUAGAAUGGAAUUGGUGUCACACAUAGUAAUGAUAUGAUAGAUGCUGAAAGAGAUAUUAAAAUCUCCCCUCCCAAAGCUUUGUAUAAUCCUGAACUGAAGAGUCCUCAUCAAAGAGCUUCCCUGAAAUUACCUUAGCUACCAAAAGCAGUUUUACUCAAUGAAAAGCCUUGAAAUGACUCAUCUCCAUUAGACAGUUAUUUCAAAAGCCACAAUUAACAUCCAACUGUGAAAAACACAAUAGUGACUUAAAACAAAAUUUAACUGGUGAUGUAAAAACAAGAGCAAAAAACUCAUAAUGGAAAAAAAAAAGAAUUGCUGCCAAAUGGCCAAAGUUUAAAGAAAUCCACGCACCUAAUUUAGCCUAUGGCUGAAGAACAUUGCUACUUCUGUCAAGAACCAAGAACUUGCUUGAUGGCAAAUCUGCAAAUUAAAAAUCCAAAUACCGAACGUAAGCAUCUUGAAUCACCCAAUGUUUUCUUUGUUGCCAGAUUUAGCCAUUAUGAGUUGUUAGCUGAAUAUGUAUGGAAAAUAAAACAAUUUAAGAACCUAACUUUAGCCU